rnacentral:rRNA from 1 species
AGAUUGAACGCUGGCGGCAUGCUUUACACAUGCAAGUCGAACGGCAGCGCGGGGCAACCUGGCGGCGAGUGGCGAACGGGUGAGUAAUAUAUCGGAACGUACCCAAGAGUGGGGGAUAACGUAGCGAAAGUUACGCUAAUACCGCAUACGAUCUAAGGAUGAAAGCAGGGGACCGCAAGGCCUUGUGCUCCUGGAGCGGCCGAUAUCUGAUUAGCUAGUUGGUAGGGUAAAGGCCUACCAAGGCUACGAUCAGUAGCUGGUCUGAGAGGACGACCAGCCACACUGGAACUGAGACACGGUCCAGACUCCUACGGGAGGCAGCAGUGGGGAAUUUUGGACAAUGGGCGCAAGCCUGAUCCAGCAAUGCCGCGUGAGUGAAGAAGGCCUUCGGUGUAAGCUCUUUGUCAGGAAGAAACGGUAGGUGGCGUAAUAUCCUCCACUAAUGACGGUACUAGAAGAAUAAGACACCGGACUAACUACGUAGCCAGCAGCCGUA